GACGUAGGGGGCCAGCGUUGUUCGGAAUUAUUGGGUUUAAAGGGUGCGUAGGCGGUUCUAUAAGUCAGUGGUGAAAUACGGCAGCUCAACUGUCGAGGUGCCAUUGAUACUGAAGAACUUGAGUACAGACGAGGUAGGCGGAAUUGACGGUGUAGCGGUGAAAUGCUUAGAUAUCGUCAAGAACACCGAUAGCGAAGGCAGCUUACUAGACUGUAACUGACGCUGAGGCACGAAAGUGUGGGGAUCAAACAGG
rnacentral:rRNA from 1 species